GUGGAUAUAGUUUACAAAAAACAUCAGACUGUGAAUCUGAAAACAGGAAAUCAACCUUCUUAUUCACC
rnacentral:tRNA from 1 species